rnacentral:lncRNA from 1 species
CCUCCCAAAGUGCUGGGAUUACAGGCAUAAACCACUGCACCUGGCCUGGGAGGAACUUUUAAUUGUGGGAGGCUGGUAGUCAGUUAAAUGCAGCGGAAACCAGUUAUAACAGAUGCAAGCUCUGUCUAAAUCCUCACUACUUAAAGCGUGCUCCUGUGGGAGCAGCAGGGACAGCCCCUGGGAAUGUGUUGGAAAUGCAGAAUCCAGGGCCCCCCACAGACCUGAACCAGAAUCUGCAUUUUAACAAGAUCCCCAGGGAAUUGCUCUGUAUGCCCUUCGGAGUCACCACAGCUCUGGAGCCCACAGAAGCUGAGAGGGAAAGUGCCCUGGAUUCCUUCACCCUGUGCUUGAAGACACGGCCUGUCUGGCAACAAUAUAGAGUAAAAUAAAUUAAACAUGGAGAAACCCAGAAGAAAAAAAGAAAGCAGAGAAAGCAACAGCAGAGAGGAGAUCUCAGCAAACUUUGGAAGUUGACAGGAAAAUCAGUGGAUGGCCAGAAACCAAAACUUUACACUGACGGGAAGAUCAGAAGAAAGGAACAGAUUUAAACUACUCAACUCUGGGACAGCUCAGAAGUGAGAGGUACUGGGUAAGCACUUCAGAAGCAUAGGUGCAGGGUGGAAGUAAAAGCAAGAGGAAAGUUGAUGGUGCUUGUAAGAAACAGUCAAACCACCAUGCUGCACUCCUCCCCUGGCCCCCCAAACAACCAGGAAUUACCCUGCCCCUCCACAAGUGAAAGCCAGGGUUGAACUAUUAUGGACUCUAAUCUUUGAGCUACUCGCUCUGAUUUAGGGCAAGAUAACAUUCUGUACUAAAAACUCAAGUGGAAACCUACACACUGAACUUCAGAUUUCCAGCCACAAUUCUCUCCCACUCCCACCAUGCCAUGUAUCUGCUCAGAUCCCGUUACACUGGCAGCCAGGCAUAUACUCCCAGGCAGGAGCUAAGACAAUGCAUCAUUACUGGCAAAGUAACCAGCCCCCUCCUCCCCGAUUCUGUAGAUACUGGUAUUUGGAGUUCUCCUGCGAAAAGGCCAGGGACAUCUAGCACCACCCAGCGAGACCUACUCAUUGACAGGUUCCACCCAGGUAGGCAGAAUUUCCAAUGAGCUUUUAGUGCUUGGAACUUAAAUAUGAAUAAACAAAAUCAUCAGAAAUUUGAGGGAAGCUUUUUAGCAUGGAAAACAAAAAGGGAAACAGAAAAAAGAAACUCAGAGGAAACAGAUAAUUCAAGGAAGAAGAAAACUUCAAAAUUAAGGUAUCAUAUCCAUGAAGAAAAACCAGA